rnacentral:lncRNA from 1 species
UAUAACAAUUCAUAAUAAUGGUUCAACAUUAUCUCAACAAAACGUCUCAACAUGUUAGUCAUCAUAAACAACGUAAAUAAUAAUCAAUUAUCUAUCGAAUCCCAUAACCCGGUGUCACAUGACCAGAGCAUUUGACUCGACUCUGUAGAAUAACUCUAACACUUAUUCUUCAAACCUCACAAUAGCUACUCCUUCUUUAUCUGCACAUUGCUCAUCAUAGAUGAACAUAAACACAUGCAGAAGGGGUGAGAAUUACAUUAUUAAAUAAUAAUAUAACGACAGAAAUAUAAACAUAAAUAUAUUUCUCAUAUGCCAACACAGCUCAUCAUAAUCAUCAUAAAUCAACAUAUUCAUGAAUAUCAAACAAAAUAACAUAUCAAAUGCAAUGCACACACCCAUGCAUGACUCAACACGACUCGGUAUAACCCAUUUUGUGACCAACUACAGGAUCACCACUCCCAGAUUCAUCACCAUAGAAUCCGAGUUCCCUGUAAGGAACCAAGCCUCUCAACAAGCCCGGAGUCAACAACAUCAUUGGAACUCAGUCCGUUCAUCACUAGGCAUCGCCUUUCAUGAAUGCAUG